rnacentral:lncRNA from 1 species
CCGUAGGGAGUAAUGGAGCCGCGUAGGAUCCGUCGCAGGGAGUAAUGGAGCCGCAUAGGAUUCGCCGAAGGGAGUGGAGCAGAAUCGUGGCCGUUACUACGGCCUGCCAGGGAGUCCAGACUUAUCGGCUGAAGUUCGGUUGGAGUCCGUAGCUGGAGAGAGGUGGCUAGCUGUCCGUCCGAGAGGAGCUUGGAGUCUGGCUCUCGUAGGAGCCCGGACGGAGUCUUCUUUCAAUUGAAGUCGGGGAUGAAGUCUGGCUCCCACAGGAGCCCGGAUGGAGUCUUCCCACAGCUGGGGCUAGAGGCGAAGUCU